UAAGUACUAUAGUUGAUUAGUUAAUAGAACAGCAAGUCUAACUGAGUUCCUUCAUUGAUAUUGACUCAAGCCACAACUAAUAGCCUACGUCACUUGUAAUGAAUGUAACCUGUAAACGCACCAAAACAAUAUGCCGAGGGUUUGGCACGCCUUGGUAAAUGUAUCAUCUUAAGGAGCUUUGAGGAACACCUACACACACACACACACACACACACACACACACGCACACGCACACGCACACGCACACGGACAAACCCGCUCACUUCAAACAGAUUCGAAUAUUGAUUUAGAUUUGUAAACAGAGACAGAACCUGGGUUUAAUAAAUCGUCAGUUGCCUCUCUAGCAGUCUUAAGAGUUGCCUAGGCUAAGUCAAAAGUGCAGUAUUGAAUCGUUAGACCUGUGUUUUUACGCAAUCAAAAACAUUGACUAAUGUAAAACUCUAUAUUAUUUAUUUUGACAGACUUUGAUGAAUGGAAAUCGUCGGGGAUGACGCCUUCUAGACUUUUUUUUUCUCUAUCAAUCUUCUGUUCCGGACUCGUCAUGUUUGCAUUUCGACUGGAGUAAAGUUUUCCAACAUGUGAUCUAGUUUAUGACCGGGGUUUCUUCAGCCUACAGCCGUUCUCUGUCUGAAGGAUGGGAUAGGGACAUGGCAAGUUGUCAGGGCCUCUGCAACAAACACAUGGAUUCCAUUAAAUACACUCUCCUUCAGACCAUCAACAUGACGGAGCAAAGUCCAGAUCCACGGAGAUCCAACAAGGACAAAUGAUACAAGGAGAAAGAUGCCUCUCAGCAGACACACUGACUUGAUGUUCAUUAGCUUACUGUAUGAGCAAGUUUUGCUUUCCAAUAUAACUUAUGAUUGCUAUGAUUUUUUAAAUUAAAAUGCACUUUAUGUAAAAUGUAUUGUUGAUAUAUGUUGCUACCAUUAUUAAUGAUAUUCAAUAUAUUUUAAAUCAUGUCCCUUGCAUUCAAACUAAGUGUUUGUGGUUUUCACCAACCCAGGAGACUGUAACAUUAUGGCUGACUUAUCCUCCAACCCCAGCGGUGUGUAAAUAAAGAUAUCUAUGUUGAUGUAACUGUCAAGCAGUCUCUUCCUCCACUCCUAGACAUCCUGUGGA
rnacentral:lncRNA from 1 species